GUCUGCGGGCGCGGGUUGACACAGCAAGGGCGCGGGGCAGUCCGGUCUCGCCUCACUAGGGAGGAACUCGGGCAAGGGCGCGCGGUCAGCGCCAGGUGGAUCCUGGGUUCCUCCCCGGGCUUGUCCCUAUUGAAAAAGUUGACAACUAGGGCAGAGGUCACGGGCGGAGGAAACUUGUCAACGCGGCUCCCGAGCGGAAUUUUCCCCGAACCCUGGUGCUGACCCUCUUCCCAAAGCCCAGAUGUUGUCCUAGACUUGCAACAGCCUUGUUGGAAAAUAGAGUUAGAGAUAUCUCAUAUGUGACGUACACCGAGACACAUAAACAGACAAAACUAGAGAUCGCAUAGCUUCACUCUAAAAGCUUCAUUAUGAAUCAGGUAUUACCAUAUAAACUCACAAGUUUAUAAGUAACAGUUGGAAUAAGAUAAAUUUGUUUGCUCAGAUUACUACUUCACUAUUUGUAGAAAAGUCUUCAGAUUUAUAUUUGUCCUUGAUAAACCCUUAAGGAGGCUAAGAAUUAGAUUUUGGGUGAGGGAACCUUUCCAACAGUUCGAGUUUUAAAAGGUCUUUUUCCCAUUUCCCCUACUCCAUUCCAGGUUUUAUUUGAUUGAGCUAAUUAGGCUCAGUCUCAGUUCUUUGGGAGCUGUCUUUACAUUUCUGAUCUGUAGAGACUUGCAAGAUACAGUAGCUCCUGAUAUUAAAAGGUUGAUUUGCCCAACUAUACUUACUUUGAUUUGCUUUUGUAUCAGAGAUUUCCAGCUAAACUGAAAAUCACAAAAGAGUCCUGGGUUAUAGAACUUUAGGAUUUAAUUUGUCAUGCCUUCAAAAACUUGCAUGAGGCAUUGACAAAGCCCCUCUUUUGAGAACACAGGUUAGACCCAGAGCAAAAUGUCUAUUAUUUUUUUAGCCCCUGAAUAUUAGUUCCCAGUUUUUACUUUAUAUUGUCUUGGCUCAGGUAACCAUAUUGAUUUCCUUUCAUAUGUUUAAAUAAUAUUUUCUGAGGGCCAGAUUCAAAUACCCUGUCUUAUAAUACCAAGCAGAGGAAGCCCAGUGAAACAUGUCUAUCCCACAAUAUAAUUCAGCAGAAGACUUGUAAACAUCUUAUAUAAAGCCUUAUUUAAAUGUACCUAUUUUUAUAAACUUUCAUCCCAAUUCUGUCAACUUUUAUACCUUUAACUUUGGUUCCCAUUAGAACCCAGUCAACAAGCUUUGGUCUUAAAAGGAGUCCUAGAAGCUUUCCUUUCUUACAUUCUCCAACCAUUUUAUCUAUUUUGUAUAAAAGACUCAGAUCCCUAGUGAGGGAUUGAGCCAAGGGACACAAGCCCUCUUGUCAGUCUUGUAACUUGACUAAUAGGUCUAACUGUUGCCGCAACUAAUUGUUGGUCAGAUAGCUAAUUAUAAUUUUUUUCCCAGCCUUUUAAGGGUAUAUAUUUUUUAAACUGGGUAAGUAGAGCAGACUUGUUUGGGGCUCAUUAAUACUGGGAACCAACAGGGUGUCCCUUUGGCUCAUUCAUCUUUACUUAGUGUUGCAUCAAAACUUUUUGCUUUAAUGCCAUUAACACCUGUCUUAUUUAUCCCAUUUAUUAACAACCAUCUAUAGAUUUCUUUAUUUUGGGGGAACAAGUACCUUAAAAAUUUUCAUCUUGUUGGGAAGAAGUCUGUAGACUUCCGUUUCUGUUUUUUUUUUUUUUUUAACUUUCAUCUUAACAUUAAUUAUUCUAAUGCUUUUAUUAGCAUCUAUAAGACCCAUUGAGGGGAAGCAGAGACCACAAAUAAGUCUUCCCAAACUUUUUUUCUUUGUUUGUUUUAAAGGAGUUCUUAGGUUAAUCAUUAUAUGUGUUUUCCCACCCUCUAAUUUGCUUCUUUCAUGGGUACCAAUAAAACAGUGCUUGUUAUGAGAGCUCUCUAAAAAUUUACCAAUUUAAGUUUUUCCAUUUAAAAGAUCAUCAUCUGGCCAUUAAUGAGCUAUAUGUUAAUAGUGACUCAAACCUAUAACAUGCAAGAGGCUUCCCCACAAGAGAGUGUGGAGGAUGCCACCUAAACAAGAUCCAGAAGCUUUACUCCCCAAAGUAGUCUGAGGAAAUGAAGGCUGACACAAUAAAGGUUAAGAUUACGAAGUGCCUGGGAGUUGGCACAGUGGACAACAGACUGUGCAGAAUCUCAGUCUGUUCGAUUGGCUGACAGAUGUACACCAUAUGUGUACCUUCUGGAUGGCAGAGACCAAGUUUCAGGACACACACACAUGCACACACACACCCCCACCCCCACCCUGUACACCACCAAGGAUCAAGUAGGCAUUUAGGCAAGUAGG